GCAAGUCGAGGGGUAACAUUGUAGCUUGCUACAGAUGACGACCGGCGCACGGGUGCGUAACGCGUAUGCAACCUACCUUAUACAGGGAGAUAGCCCAGAGAAAUUUGGAUUAAUAUCCCAUAGUAUUAUUAAUUGGCAUCAAUUGAUAAUUAAAGUUCCGGCGGUUAAAGAUGGGCAUGCGUGACAUUAGUUAGUUGGUGAGGUAACGGCUCACCAAGACAACGAUGUCUAGGGGUUCUGAGAGGAUUAUC
rnacentral:rRNA from 1 species